UCAAUCUCGUGCGGCUAGGAGCCGCCUGUCCCUCUAAGAAGAUUAAUGUGUACGCCGGCAGUAAAAGACGCGACACUCGCCGGCACCGGCUGACGGGCGACGCGAGCCUUCGAGAUGCCGGAAAGUAACGCCUAGUUAGCAGGCUAGAGUCUCGUUCGUUAU
rnacentral:rRNA from 1 species